AAAUAUUAUUAGAAUAUAAUUUUUUAAUAUUAUUUUUAUUUUAAGAUUUUUUUUGGUUUUCACAAAUUCACCAAGGUUCUCGGAACCUAGAAAUAAAGAAGGAAAUCAAUAAGGGUAGUAGGGCUGUAGCAUCUCUGAGAAGAAUGGCUCAUUUCUUCCCCCAGCCCCC